GUGUGCUCCUUUCGACAGCACACAUAUACUAAAAUUGGAACAAUACAGAGAAGAUUGGUGUGGCCCCUGCCCAGGGUUGACACAGAUUCAUGAGAAUAUUGUCACAGUGAA
ensembl:snRNA U6 U6 spliceosomal RNA